UCCAUUCUCUGCCUACAGGAAACAAAGAUUGAGGACCGGUUGGCUGCCACUGUCAGAGAUCUGGGAGGAAGCACAUUAGAGGGCUGCACUGUUCUCCCAACCAUGGGCACUAGGGGAGGUGAUGCAAUCCUAUGGGACAAGAACAUUGUUAGUUUUACAUCACACGCAAUUGGCUGCUUUUCGAUCACAGGAAAGGUCUCGGUGCUGCAUGAUGGAUCUUGGUUCUGGCUGACGUCAGACAACGGACCGGUGGAUGACACGCGCAAAGACACCUCCCUGGCCGAGCUUGCUCAUGCCGCCCCUCCCCUGGGAGAGCCGUGGUUGGUCAAUGGAGACUUUAACAUCAUUUACGAAGCCCGUGACAAGAACAACCUCAACCUGAACAAGAGGAUUAUGGGGAUGUUUAGAUCAGCAAUUGACAAAGCAGGCCUAAGAGAGGUUAAGUGCGAAAAUAGAAGAUUUACUUGGACAAAUGAGAGAGAAAAUCCAACGAUGGUUAGCAUUGAUAAAGUUUUCUGCAACAUGGAAUGGGAAGCUCUCUUCCCCUGCUUCAUGCUCAUGGUUGCGAUAAUGGCCUGCUUGGAUCACCGCCCUCUCCUGAUGGCGAACACUGCUGCCCCGCGUAGAAGGACGGCCUUUCGCUUUGAAAAUUUCUGGCCGAGCUUCCCCCACUUGCAGGAGACUGUUGCUAGAGCUUGA
rnacentral:rRNA from 1 species